UUUGAUCCUGGCUCAGGAUGAACGCUAGCGGCAGGCCUAAUACAUGCAAGCUGAACGGCAAGAGCUUUAGCAAUAGAGUUCCUAGAGUAGCGUAAGGGUGCGUAACACGUAUGCAAUCUACCCACAACAGGAGGAUAGCUCCCCGAAAGGGGAAUUAAGACUCCAUAAUAUCAUAUGAGGGCAUCUGAGUAUGAUUAAAGUACAAGCGGUUGUGGAUGAGCAUGCGUCUGAUUAGUUAGUUGGCGGGGUAACGGCCCACCAAGACGAUGAUCAGUAGGGGAACUGAGAGGUUGGUCCCCCACACUGGCACUGAGAUACGGGCCAGACUCCUACGGGAGGCAGCAGUAGGGAAUAUUGGACAAUGGGUGCAAGCCUGAUCCAGCCAUGCCGCGUGCAGGAAGAAGGCCUUCUGGGUCGUAAACUGCUUUUACCGGGGGAUAAAAUACUCGUGCGCGAGGAAUUGAAAGUACCUGGUGAAUAAGCCACGGCUAACUACGUGCCAGCAGCCGCGGUAAUACGUAGGUGGCAAGCGUUGUCCGGAUUUAUUGGGUUUAAAGGGUGCGUAGGCGGUCCUGUAAGUCAGUUGUGAAAUACGGCAGCUUAACUGUCGAGGUGCAAUUGAUACUGCAGGACUUGAGUACUGAUGAGGUAGGCGGAAUGGACGGUGUAGCGGUGAAAUGCUUAGAUAUUACACAGAACACCGAUUGCGAAGGCAGCUUACUAAACUGUUACUGACGCUGAUGCACGAAGCGUGGGGAGCGAACAGGAUUAGAUACCCUGGUAGUCCACGCCGUAAACGAUGCUCACUCGCUGUUUGCGAUACACAGCAAGCGGCCAAGCGAAAGCAUUAAGUGAGCCACCUGGGGAGUACGAUCGCAAGGUUGAAACUCAAAGGAAUUGACGGGGGCCCGCACAAGCGGAGGAACAUGUGGUUUAAUUCGAUGAUACGCGAGGAACCUUUACCUGGGCUU
rnacentral:rRNA from 1 species